CUCUCUUUUCUCCAGAGAUUUCAUCCUCCCGGGUGGCGUGCGUGGAGGAUGGCGGGGGAGGGGGAGGGACGAACCCGCGUUCUCUCUCACACGCAUGUUCCCCUCCCUCAUCUGUGGCUGUCUUUUCGGCCUGUACGUGCUGGCUCUGCUCCUGGGCUCCACCCUCGCUUUUCUGUUUUCAUUUUCUUGUUCCCUUUUCGUCUCCUUCAUUUGACCCGCACACGCAUCAAAUUUCGAGCGACGCACCACUCAACUCGGCUCUGUGUCCGGCGCACUCUCUCGCCGUUGUCCCCUCUUCGUCUCUGAGCCAUUGGCUGCUGCUGCUGCCGCUGAUAAAGCCAUGUUGUACACAUAAGGCUUCUUCCUGCCCUUUUAUGCCUGUGCCUUCUUUUCUUCUUUCUUUGUGUUGUCGCGCCACACGAGCGACGGCAUCUUAACAUUAAAGGAAGCAGAGCGCCUCUUCGCGCUGCGUGCCCCUGCCCUCUGGCUCGGACAGCAGCCGCCUCCGCGUGUCUCUCUCUGUGUAUGUGUUGGUGCUGGUGAAUAGGCUGUGCGGAGGUAUCGUGGCGCACCCCUGCCGCCUUCGUAAACAGCGGUUACAUACCUGUACACAUACAAACACAUUGGACCAAUAAAAGAGCGUGAGAGCGAGCCUCGAGGUUCGAGAUUGUAGCGACGAAGCCGAAUGCGAAG
rnacentral:misc_RNA from 1 species